GCGGGCAUGGUGGAAUGGUAAACAUAUCAGAUUUAGGAUCUGACGACGCUUUUAAGUCUUGUGGGUUCAAGUCCUACUGUCCGUA
rnacentral:tRNA from 1 species